rnacentral:rRNA from 1 species
AACGAACGCUGGUGGCGUGCUUAACACAUGCAAGUCGAACGAGAAAAUUUCCUUCGGGAAAUUAGUAAAGUGGCGCAAGGGUGAGUAUCACGUGAAUAAUCUGCCCUCGAGAUCGGGAUAACAUGGUGAAAACUAUGCUAAUACCGUAUAAGACCACAUUUCAUAAGAAAUGCGGUAAAAGGAGUCUCAACCUUCACUCGAGGAUGAGUUCGCGCAACAUUAGCUUGUUGGUGAGAUAAAAGCUCACCAAGGCUACGAUGUUUAGCCGGCCUGAGAGGGCGAUCGGCCACACUGGAACUGAGACACGGUCCAGACUCCUACGGGAGGCAGCAGUAAGGAAUAUUGGUCAAUGGACGAAAGUCUGAACCAGCCAUGCGCGUGCCAGGAUG